AUGAACGCUAGCUACAGGCUUAACACAUGCAAGUCGAGGGGCAUCAGGAAGAAAGCUUGCUUUCUUUGCUGGCGACCGGCGCACGGGUGAGUAACACGUAUCCAACCUGCCCUUUACUCGGGGAUAGCCUUUCGAAAGAAAGAUUAAUACCCGAUGGCAUAAUGAUUCCGCAUGGUUUCAUUAUUAAAGGAUUCCGGUAAAGGAUGGGGAUGCGUUCCAUUAGGUUGUUGGUGAGGUAACGGCUCACCAAGCCUUCGAUGGAUAGGGGUUCUGAGAGGAAGGUCCCCCACAUUGGAACUGAGACACGGUCCAAACUCCUACGGGAGGCAGCAGUGAGGAAUAUUGGUCAAUGGGCGCUAGCCUGAACCAGCCAAGUAGCGUGAAGGAUGAAGGCUCUAUGGGUCGUAAACUUCUUUUAUAUAAGAAUAAAGUGCAGUAUGUAUACUGUUUUGUAUGUAUUAUAUGAAUAAGGAUCGGCUAACUCCGUGCCAGCAGCCGCGGUAAUACGGAGGAUCCGAGCGUUAUCCGGAUUUAUUGGGUUUAAAGGGAGCGUAGGUGGACUGGUAAGUCAGUUGUGAAAGUUUGCGGCUCAACCGUAAAAUUGCAGUUGAUACUGUCAGUCUUGAGUACAGUAGAGGUGGGCGGAAUUCGUGGUGUAGCGGUGAAAUGCUUAGAUAUCACGAAGAACUCCGAUUGCGAAGGCAGCUCACUGGACUGCAACUGACACUGAUGCUCGAAAGUGUGGGUAUCAAACAGGAUUAGAUACCCUGGUAGUCCACACAGUAAACGAUGAAUACUCGCUGUUUGCGAUAUACAGUAAGCGGCCAAGCGAAAGCAUUAAGUAUUCCACCUGGGGAGUACGCCGGCAACGGUGAAACUCAGAGGAAUUGACGGGGGCCCGCACAAGCGGAGGAACAUGUGGUUUAAUUCGAUGAUACGCGAGGAACCUUACCCGGGCUUAAAUUGCAGUGGAAUGAUGUGGAAACAUGUCAGUGAGCAAUCACCGCUGUGAAGGUGCUGCAUGGUUGUCGUCAGCUCGUGCCGUGAGGUGUCGGCUUAAGUGCCAUAACGAGCGCAACCCUUAUCUUUAGUUACUAACAGGUUAUGCUGAGGACUCUAGAGAGACUGCCGUCGUAAGAUGUGAGGAAGGUGGGGAUGACGUCAAAUCAGCACGGCCCUUACGUCCGGGGCUACACACGUGUUACAAUGGGGGGUACAGAAGGCAGCUAGCGGGUGACCGUAUGCUAAUCCCAAAAGCCUCUCUCAGUUCGGAUCGAAGUCUGCAACCCGACUUCGUGAAGCUGGAUUCGCUAGUAAUCGCGCAUCAGCCACGGCGCGGUGAAUACGUUCCCGGGCCUUGUACACACCGCCCGUCAAGCCAUGGGAGCCGGGGGUACCUGAAGUACGUAACCGCAAGGAUCGUCCUAGGGUAAAACUGGUGACUGGGGCU
rnacentral:rRNA from 1 species